rnacentral:rRNA from 1 species
UACGAACCGUACAAACGUUAUUCGGAAUCACUGGGCUUAAAGGGUGCGUAGGCGGCCAUGUAAGUGAGGUGUGAAAUCCCUCGGCUCAACCGAGGAACUGCGCUUCAUACUGCAUGGCUUGAGGGAGACAGGGGUAAGCGGAACUGAUGGUGGAGCGGUGAAAUGCGUUGAUAUCAUCAGGAACACCGGUGGCGAAAGCGGCUUACUGGGUCGCCUCUGACGCUGAGGUACGAAAGCUAGGGUAGCGAACGGG